UUUUGAGAUCUUGGGGUAAUAUAAUAACUAACAUGGUCUGUUUAUUGAGGUGCCCCUUUUUGUUUAAAUGACAGCUCGCAAAGCCCUCCCGAUGUUUCCUCAUGUAAGUGCAUUGCAGCAAACGCAUCUAGAAGCCACAAAGCUUUGAUGGCCUAAAAAAUUACAGUAGCCUCGGCAAACUGAAAACAAUUCUUUUAUUGCUAUUACGUCAUGAAACACUCUAAAACACAAACUGCAUUUGUAAUGUGUCGGGGUGUGCAAGGGGUGGGAAUCUCCCAGGAUUUUGACUUGGGAUCUUUCCCAGUAUUUACCACAGUGAAUUCUCACUAGUCUUCUGUAUACCGCUGGGAUAUAUUCACAGACUUGCCCAAGUGGGUAAAAGACAUAAUGGUCAUAAAAUGUCUGGGAAUAUAACACGUAUCUUCUUCUCUUCAAUCAUAGUGACAAAAUGUAUGUUCCAUCAGGGAUAAUCAAUAUUACCAAUGCUGACAACUGUUAUGAAAUAUUAUUUUCGUUCACCUCUAUUUCUUUUUCCAGGACGUGGAAGAAAUAGUUUGAUUAGUUUCUUGGUUAACUACUUAUUUGUCUGUGCUUAUGUGCAUUUAAGUGAGUGGGUGUGUUAAGGAUACACUGAGAUAAAGCUAAUUUAGAGAAAUUCGUUUUGCUUUUGAUUGUCUAGUUCAUUAAUUAUUUUCUCCUCUUUCAAGGGUAAGCUCCACAGUAAACUGUGUGUGACGGUUCUGCCUAUAGCACUGAUGUUCCCCCCGGCUGAAAUUUUCAUCUGGUAGAAAAUGAACUGGGGAGAAGCUGUUGUCCUGGCUGUUGUUUCCCCUUUCAAAAAUCAAGAGCAAGCUACAAAAGAUGGGCACUUCCUUAAAUGGUGGAUGGGCUGACAACCACCUUGCCCUUUGAGAAAGUCGUGGGAUAAAUACAAAUGGGGGAGAAGCUUCUCCAAAACCUUUUAGAAAGUGCUAUCAGCUUGGGAUUACAAUUUCAUGAGAGGGAGACCCUGAGCCUCUGGACUUAUUCACUGAGUUGGGUUGCAGGCAAACAAAGAGAUUUUCUUCAACACUGCUUUAUUUAGGUCCAUGCCUCUCAACAGAGCCAUUUUCUCAGCCCUGGUUUAAUUGAAUCAGUAUUAAAACGAAUCUGGUUUUAUUUUAGUGAAACAGAGGGUUAUGUUCUUGAUUAUAAUGCUGGAAGCAUAAUACAAAAAAAGACACCCCAAAAUGUACUUCUUUUUCUGUUUCUCACCUGAAAAAGUGUUUAGGUACCCCCAAAAUGCCUUUUCCUAACUAAAUCAGUCUGAUUAAUUAAAAAAAACCCCUUUGUCUGCAAACCUCACCUGCCAGGCGCUGGUUCUAGCUGUCACUCACCAGUUCUCUUUUCUUCAUCACAGGCAGUUUCUUCAUUGCAGUAGCCAGGUGUUAAUCCAAGAGUACUUUGGCGCAUGAUGUGGCCUUUAGAGAAGGACAAUAUUGUAAGUCCUCUUUACUCUGGUUGUACCUGCAGUGUCUGAGGUUGCCAAUGCAACAGAAACAUCAAAACGAUCCAGUUUACCAUUACAAGGAUUGCAAGAUGGCUCUUAAAACUGCCAGAGUGCAAUUUCUCUGCAUAAAUAGCUUUUUCUGGAAAGCAAAUAAAUGAUCGUCUGAAGUGAGGUUGAUUUUCAGCAAUAAUGAAUCCAUAUGUUUCCCAUUAAACCUGUCUUCAGAAAACUCAUGACAGAAAGGAAAACCAUUAACAGUGACAAAAAGAAAUUCGUGUGCAACUUCUUCUACAGACAGAAGAUGGAGAACCUUGCCAGUGAAUUGACCUAUGUGUUUCAUAUGUGAAGUGUAAAAUGAAGGAUUGUGGGGAACGGUGGAUGUUCAGGGAAACCCUUUUGGAAACUAAAGAUUUAGAAGUCUCCUCAAAGAAAAAUAUUUUGGUGAAUGAUUUGAAAAAAGCAGACAGCCAAGGCGUGCUGACUUGCCUGGUUGAGGGAGGAAUUUGAAGCUGAGCAGACAGGGUGAAGUACUAAGGGAACGACAGAAGGAAACAAAGGCAGAACAGAAAAGUGAUGUCUCAAGGUUUGAAGAAGGACCGUACUGGGUCAGGGUGUUGGACAGUCUACCUUUUCCAUUUUUUCUCAGCUGCAGAGGUUGAACUUCCCUCAGGAAAAAUUGGGUGUGAGAGAAGAAAAAAAUUGGGAAAAACUCACAAGGGAUACGUCAAAGCUUUACAGUUUGCAAAUAAUGUGAUUACAGAUUCUUAAUUCCAUUAUCAAGCCUUAGUCAGUGCUGUACACACUGCGCUCUGAGGAGGGAAGCAAAACCUGGGGCUAAGGGAGAGAAGUUUGUCCUCUCUGUACAGCUUUCUUUGUCCCUCCAAGUGCAAGGACACUUAAGCCCCUCUAUGCAAAACCCCUUCAAGCUCAAUGAACAGAAAAAAGAUGAAAUGUGAAGACAUUUUCUUAGUGAGUUGUGAAAGUCCUGCAGAGGUACCAGCACAACUGAGAAAGAGUACACUGGGAGAAAAUGAGCCACCACACGAUGUGGAGGACAAGGAAAGGCAGGAACGACUCACCAGUGACAGCUUUGGGAGACAUGUCAAUAAGAUUACAGCCUUGGUGUGGCGAUCGUGGCUCAGAGGGAAGAGCACGUGGAAGUUCAUCACCACUCCCUGAUCCGCCUGUGAGAAAGAGACAGGCAGAAAACCGGUGGCUAUCCCACUGACAAGCAGCCUUCGAACCCUACGGUAACGUACCCGCAGAGGCAUGCGGGCUGCACAGAAAUGUUCCAAGCAAGGGGUCAAUGGAGCCAAUAAUAUUGUGUGAUUUUAAUGAAUGGGAGCUGGGCUGUGUCCUACCCCUCGCGCUUCUGGAUGAUCGAGUCCAUGCCUCAGACAUACGAACAGCAGAAAGCAGCUUGUCCUAGAUGUGGUUUUUUAUGUGGUGCAGAUGUAUGAACAGAGGCUUGCUCGUCAGUGACAGUGCAGAGGAUGGGCAGAGCAUGGACUGGAGAUCCAAGGAAAAUGUUUUUUUCUCUCCCGUUUCUUAGCGAAUGUUGUGCUUUCAGUAGGUGCUGGAUUGGCAGUCUCGGAGGCUGCAUUCCCGCCGAGGGAGAGGGGAGGCACCAUGGAUAAAGUGGAAACAGAAGCUGCGCAGGCCAAAUGUUUCCAUCCCAAACUCGAAGCACAGGGCUCGCAGAUGCCCUGGCAGGGUGCCCUCUAGGACUUGCUCAGUAGUGAUUUGCCCUGUCCAGCUCUGACGGAGGGUACCGAUUGCUACAGCUUCUACAGUUUUUUACAUUUCAGUCCUUCUGACAGCGUUUCUCUGAAACAUGGUGUCAUAAGAGAGUGGAUGCAGAGCAGCGACAACCCCUAUUGCAUCCAGGGGUUUCCUUCAAAACCCACAUGGUUUGAGGAACUCAGCUGCAACGGAUCUGGAUGUGAAUGUGCUGUGAGAGCCACUGUUAAUGGGAACUUUGUGUUCACACGAUGUGCUUAGUGCUUGACAAAUAAGGAGGCCUAGUGAGUUUUUCUGAAUAAAUAAACUACAAUAUUUGCUCUGCUAACCUUGUCACCAAAACAAUGAAAUGUUAUUUUGUAUUUUCUAGGAAUAACAUACAGCAGAUAUAAGACCUGGUAUCAGAAUGAUGACGACUUCCAAAUGAUUAGGAAGUAGCUGAUCCACCAAAGCUAAGCCUUGUGAUGAUUAUCUCUUGCACCAUUUGGUGAUCAAGUCACACUCAUUGUGGCAAUGGGUUAAGCGAGCCAAGGCAGCCUGCAAUUUAUUUGCAUAGCAUCUGAAUCGCUAGGCUUUUAAACUCAGGAGCAUGCAAUACAGGCUGAGGGUGAAAUACCAGGAAAACAUCCCGGUUCAGUUUAAAGAAAGCUAUUCCGACGGGGGCUGAGGCAGCAGGGACUGUGAAUGGCUCAGGCCCACCCAGAAACUUUUGGCAGGCAGUGGAGCAGCGCGAGCUACCCCUUUGUCCAUCCCCUGCUUUGCUUGCUAGAGAGGGCAGUCAGGUGCCUUAACGGCCUUCACGGAGGUUUGGGAUAAGUUCCUAUUUUGCACCCCUGAUUGUGCACAGUGCUGUCUGAAUAUAGCAGAGCUGCUGGAGUGUCAGCUGCCAUAGCCAUCCUGCUGCUUUGGUCUCCUACCUCUUUGCACUCACCUAAGUCUGGUGUCAGAGAAAUUCUGUCAUCUUUAAAUCUCAGCAGAGAAGGCCUGUUAUCAAAAUUAUGCUGGUCCCUGCCAUGCAAGAAGUAAAUGGUAAAUCACAAUGAAGCACUAUUGCUGUGGAAAGGAUCCCUCUGAGAACUGACCUGUGAAGUGAAAACCGCAGAUGACUUUGACUACAGCUUCUUCCCUGUAUUUAAAUUGUCCUGCUUGCAUCAUUUAUUCCAAACACAUUUCUGGGGCAGCUGGGAACAAACUGAUGAGCAGGGCUGCGAAUGCUGAGAGUGCAGAAGGAUUGACAUUUUAAAGGUAAACAUUGAGACUUUCCAUCCAGAAGAUGCAACAGCUGCUACAGAUGCUGAUAUCACUUCUGGCAGAGAGUGAUGAGUGAUAUGUAAUGUCAGAUCAAGACGAGAGGCUACAACUUAGUUAAAAGCGAUGCCCUGAAUGUGAAUCACAAGGCUGGAGACCGUGACGCUGUGGCCAUGCUGCCGAGCUCCUCCUCACCCGGGCCUGGGAGCCCCCAAGGGAACCACACUGGGCACGUGGCUCCGCUCCCGGUGCCGGCGGGUCACCUCUAAGGAGGACCCGGCACCGGGAAUGUCACUGGUCGGCAUUCCUCUGCCAUACUGGUGCUGGAUACGGGCUGAAGGGGUCCCUUUCAUUCUCUGGGGUACGCAUUAUGCUGAGCUUGAUAGCUUCUUUUUGCAAGGGGGGAAGUCAGCAUCUGGCUUGUGUAAUCUUGACUGAGAGUUGCCAGAUCAACGGCUGCAUCGCUUCUCUGUCAUCACCAGAGACAAUUAAGCUGCACGGAGAUUGAGCUUGAAAUAAGCCUCCAAAUUUUCCAAAAGUUUCAAGCUUAUUUAAAUUUCUAUGACAGAGGGAUCACAUUGAAUGAAGGUGAGGACAGCUCAGCUCCUAGAUACUUCCAUUUCAGCCAGGUCCAGGCAUACCGAAAGAGACACAGAAAGAUGAAACAAAAUAAACAGAAAAUGAAUUCAACUAUUGCAAGCAAUGCAGAAAUACUGUACUUCAAUUCCACUGUAGAUUGUAACAAAGAUUUCAAUUAGCUUUUAUUUUAAACACACCUUUUUUUCCUAGUCCCAGUGAAUAUAUAAUCACAACCCUUUUGCUUAUUCUGCUUGUCCAAUGCAGAUACCUCCCUGUACAAAAAGCACAUGAAAACAAAUAACGAGCAGUGGAAGUUAUAAAUCUCAAUAAAGUUGGUGUGAUACAGAUGUGAGGAUGCUUUGUAUUUUGAAUCUGAUCACAUUUUGCACUGUUUGUCUCCCUCUUUUUUAUGGGUAUUUACAAUUCUUCUCCAUUAACCUUCAUUUGACUCUGGCUAACUUUGCUGGCUGCAGAUGUCUUUACCAAAGUAUGAAUCAAAGACCUAGCGAUUAUCAACAUGGACAUAAAUUAAUAAUUUAAAGAGGACUACUUAAAUACGUAGUUUACCCAGUUCAUGGGGUGUUUCUAUAACCUUUGACAUCAGGGUUUCACAUCAAGUGUUUAAUGAGAGCUUCCAAAAGGAAAACCAUCCACCAGUAAAUGUCUUUGGUUGUAGAAUAUAUGGGUUUAAGGGACAGCCACACUUAAAUAGUAAGUAGUAUUUUAAAUCAUUAGCCACAGCAUGUUUUAGUGGGAAAUUUCUUUUUUAUGUUAAUAUUAGUCAUUGCAUAAUUUUUUGUAGGCUUCUGUGCCUGCUUCCCAAAUGUUUGUGCUUACAUAUCUAAAGAACAAUAAAUCUCUCUGUUUCAUGAGCAAUAAAUGCUGAUACUGCUCUUUUAUUGAAGGUCUUCAAAUUAUCAUUCUUUUUCUGUGCAAGCCUCCUAUGAACAAACAACUCAAUCACCCCAAAAAGCUAAUAAGAAGAGACGGAUUUUGUUGUGUUUUUUUAAUGUUUCUUUUUGAAAAAUA